rnacentral:rRNA from 1 species
AUUGAACGCUGGCGGCAUGCCUUACACAUGCAAGUCGAACGGUAACAGGUCUUCGGAUGCUGACGAGUGGCGAACGGGUGAGUAAUACAUCGGAACGUGCCCGAUCGUGGGGGAUAACGGAGCGAAAGCUUUGCUAAUACCGCAUACGAUCUACGGACGAAAGCAGGGGACCGCAAGGCCUUGCGCGGACGGAGCGGCCGAUGGCAGACUAGGUAGGUGGUGGGAUAAAAGCUUACCAAGCCGACGAUCUGUAGCUGGUCUGAGAGGACGACCAGCCACACUGGGACUGAGACACGGCCCAGAAUCCUAGGGGAGGCAGCAGUGGGGAAUUUUGGACAAGGGGCGCAAGCCUGAUCCAGCCAUGCCGCGUGCAGGAUGAAGGCCUUCGGGUUGUAAACUGCUUUUGUACGGAACGAAACGGCUCUUUCUAAUAAAGAGGGCUAAUGACGGUACCGUAAGAAUAAGCACCGGCUAACUACGUGCCAGCAGCCGCCGUAA